rnacentral:rRNA from 1 species
AACGAACGCCGGCGGCAGGCUUAACACAUGCAAGUCGAGCGCCCCGCAAGGGGAGCGGCAGACGGGUGAGUAACGCGUGGGAAUCUACCCAUCUCUACGGAAUAACGCAUGGAAACGUGUGCUAAUACCGUAUACGUCCUUCGGGAGAAAGAUUUAUCGGAGAUGGAUGAGCCCGCGUUGGAUUAGCUAGUUGGUGGGGUAAAGGCCUACCAAGGCGACGAUCCAUAGCUGGUCUGAGAGGAUGAUCAGCCACACUGGGACUGAGACACGGCCCAGACUCCUACGGGAGGCAGCAGUGGGGAAUAUUGGACAAUGGGCGCAAGCCUGAUCCAGCCAUGCCGCGUGAGUGAUGAAGGCCCUAGGGUUGUAAAGCUCUUUCACCGGUGAAGAUAAUGACGGUAACAGGAGAAGAAGCCCCGGCUAACUUCGUGCCAGCCGCCGCGGUAAGAC